rnacentral:rRNA from 1 species
AUGGUAGGUAAUAACAUGGUGUGGCAGCCCCAAGUUGUAGAUGAAAUGCUACGUUACUACAAAGAGAAGAUUCAGUCUGAGGGAAAACAAUUUGUCUUCAAAGAGACACAUCAUGAGGAGUGUGCAAAACAAAUCAAUGCAAAGUUUACCACCGCCUUCACACAAAGGCAAGUUUAUCACAAGUUCCAUAAGCUGAAAGGUAAAUGA